rnacentral:rRNA from 1 species
GAUGAACGCUGGCGGCGUGCCUAAUACAUGCAAGUCGAGCGAACAGAUGAGGAGCUUGCUCCUCUGACGUUAGCGGCGGACGGGUGAGUAACACGUGGAUAACCUACCUAUAAGACUGGGAUAACUUCGGGAAACCGGCGCUAAUACCGGAUAAUAUAUUGAACCGCAUGGGUCAAUAGUGAAAGACGGUUUUGCUGUCACUUAUAGAUGGAUCCGCGCCGCAUUAGCUAGUUGGUAAGGUAACGGCUUACCAAGGCAACGAUGCGUAGCCGACCUGAGAGGGUGAUCGGCGACACUGGAACUGAGACACGGUCCAGACUCCUACGGGAGGCAGCAGUAGGGAAUCUUCCGCAAUGGGCGAAAGCCUGACGGAGCAACGCCGCGUGAGUGACGAAGGUCUUCGGAUCGUAAAACUCUGUUAUUAGGGAAGAACAAAUGUGUAAGUAACUAUGCACGUCUUGACGGUAACUAAUCAGAAAGCCACGGCUAACUACGUG